CAAGUACCAUGAGGGAAAGGUGAAAAGGACUUUGAAAAGAGAGUUAAAAGUGCCUGAAAUUGCUGAAAGGGAAGCGAAUGGAACCAGUGUUCUUGAUGAGAUUGUCGUGUACUCUGGUGAUUGCUGGGUGCUCCACCGCAAGGGGGGCAUUUGGUUUUGAGCUAGAUGUGCGUGGUGUUUCUUGUCUUGUGUGUCACCGUCGGUGCAUGAGCGAGUAAACCUCCAGGGAGAUGGUAUCUCGACCGCGGUUGAGUGAAUGUCUCUGGCAGUACUCAUUUAUGUAUCGAUCCCUGCGUGUCUGGUUGCAGUGUUUGAGUCGUCUGGAAGCUCCUGAAAGGCUUGCCCUCGAAGGACUUUCUGGGCACCUCGAGCAUCUCCCUGACACAAAGACGAUGACUAAAUGGUUCUAUUCGACCCGUC
rnacentral:rRNA from 1 species